rnacentral:lncRNA from 1 species
UCGGUCAGAAUCACCUUUAUUGCACAGCCGCUCUGUACGCCAGGGGCUCAUCACACAUACAAGAGCACAGCGCUGGGCUCCAGCCCUGAUGCAGAGGUACAAAGCUCGUCUGGGCAGAUUGUUAUGCAAAUCAAAAGAGGAAGCAGAGCUAGGGGAGCCGAGGAGCUCCUGCUGGGCUCUGCCAGGGAAGAAGCCGCAGUAGGAGCCCCUACGUAGGCCCUGCAAGAGGCCUGGCGUUCAGGAAAGGGCCCGCUGACCAUCCAGUGCAGGGAAAGGAGUCCAGCUCUGGCCUCUGCCCCUCAGCUCCACCUCCUGCAUUCCUAGGAGUUCUCCAGAGGAUCUGAUGGGAGCUCAGAACCGGUCCCAACAGCUCCCUCCACCCUUCAUGAACGGGGGCUGGAAAAUGUGGUCUGCUCUGAUAAGGAUUUGCGUCAGGCUACUGGCUACUCAGCAGCCGAGAAGAGCAAGCCUCCAGGCCUCUGCACGCGUGCCUUCUGCCCGCCUGCCUGGCCCUCGGAGGCUGCCCAGUGCAUCAUAGUACAUCCCACGGUGGCUCCCCAGAUGGAUUCUGACUCAGCAGCAGACGCAGCAGGGCAGGCAAAAGGAUGUGGGGGAAACCUCACUGUGGCUCAUCACCACGUCCAUCUGCCUCACCAAGUUCCCAGCAAGGAGUCGGCCCUGAUGGGUGUAUUCCUCAGCCACAGCUCCUCAGUGGGCCAGCAAGGUGACUCGAAGGGCCUCUGCCACCUCUAAGAUUGGGGAACAGGAAAGAUGGACCUGGCCCCACCCCAGCCUGCGGGUCACCACCCAUGGCGGGACAAGUGAGAAAAGUUGGCCUUGCUCACCGCUGGAGCCCAAACCACAGGUUUCAUUUCCCCUUGAUAAAGACAAUGUUUGCUAUUGUUGCAUCUGAUGGUAAAAGCAAGUCAUAUUCACUAUCAAAAAGUUUGAAAGGCGGCCGGGCACGGUGGCUCACACUUGUAUUCCCAGCAUUUUGGGAGGCCGAGGCAGGCGGAUCACAAGGUCAAGAGAUCGAGACCAUCCUGUCCAACAUGGUGAAACCCCAUCUCUACUAAAAAUACAAAAAUUAGAUGGGCAUGGUGGCGUGCACCUGUAGUUCCAACUACUUGGGAGGCUGAGGCAAGAGAAUCGCUUGAACCCGGGAGGCAGAGGUUGCUGUGAGCCCCAAGAUUGCACCACUACACUCUAGCCUGGCAACAGAGCGAGACUCCGUCUCAAAAAACAAAAAAAAAAAGGAAAAUAAGAAUCCAGCCUCAAGCCUGUCACCCAGGAACAAUCACUCUAGUUGGCUGGUGUAUUUCCCUCCAGUCUUUUUUUCAGUGUAUGUAUAUAAACUUUAUUUAUAUAUAUUAUUUUAUAGCCAGCUGCUUUUUUUCUUUUAAUUCUAAAUGAUGGGCUGUUUUUUGUUUUAAAACACUGUAGACCAGCCAAGUGUGGUGGCUCAAACCGGUAAUCCCAGCACUUUUGGAGGCUGAGGUGGGCAGAUCACUUGAGCCCAGGAAUUCAAGACCAGCCUGGGCAACAUGGCAAAACCAUGUCUCUACCAAAAAUAAAAAAAUUAGCCAGGCAUGGUUCCAUGCACCUGUAGUCCCUGCAACUUGGGAGGCUGAGAUGGGAGGAUCACCUGAGCCCAGAGAGGUCGAGGCUACAGUGAGCCAUGAUCAUGCCAUCACACUCCAGCCUGGGUGACAAGAGUGAGACCCUGUCUCAAAAACAAACAAACAAACAAACAAAAAAAAACACAGGCUGGGCACAGUGGCUCAUGCCUGUAAUCCCAGCACUUCGGCAGGCCAAGGUAGGUGGAUCACCUGAGGUCAGGAGCUCAAGACCAGCCUGGCCAACAUGGCGAAACCCUGUCUCUACUAAAAAUACAAAAAUUAGCCGGGUGUGGUGGCACACGCCUGUAAUCCCAGCUACUUGGGAGGCUGAGGCAUGAGAAUCGCUUGAACCCGGGAGGUGGAGCUUGCAGCGAGCUGAGAUUGUGCCACUGCACUCCAGCCUGGGCGACAGAGCAAGACUGCAUCUCAAAAGAACAAACAAAAACAAAAACCACUGUAGACCAAGCAAACUCAACUCUUCCUCCUCCCAUGCAGUGCUCCCUCUGCCUGUUUCCCCACAUCACCUGUGUGAUGGGGAGUGGGGGGGCACACAGCGAGGCUGAGGACUCAUGGAAUGACCCUUGGGAAGCCAGAAUGGGCACGGGUACACAUUUCCAAGCAGGAGACUCACUGAUCUACCCACCCCGGGUCCCCAACCACACUGGGAAUCCCCUCCAUGAACGGGAGGAGCCUCUAUCACACACACACACACACACACACACACACACACACACACACACGGAGACCACAGAGAGAACAUGGGCACCGUGGGCAACUGUUUGAAAAUUUCUGAGCUGCUUCUCAGAUAAAGAGAGCACUCUCAUCUUCCUUGUCCUUCUCCAGAAUCAGCAGAAAUCAAGUUUCUCACCUUCCAAGCUCAGCCAAGAAAUUUCAAUUCCAGUGACGACAGAGCUGGUGUGGGGUGGAUGGUUCCCAUGGGAAGGUGUGGGUCACAGGCUGGGCUCUUAGUACUGGGAAAGUCCCUAGGCCAAGUCAGAAUCCCAGGUGUCCUCCCUGAGCACCUGCUGUGUGCAGGAUGCCAUGCCAAACAUUUUAUGAAUUAGUUCAUCCCAUUCUUGUGACACCUCAGCAGGGGAGGUAUCAGUACCCCCAUUUAAUGGAUGAAGAAAUGGAGGCCCUGCAAAAUUAAGCCACAGGCCAACUUCCUCAUGGAUGGAUCAAGCAUCUGAAGCCAAGAGAGUGGACAUGGCCUGUCCAGACUGGGGACCAGCGCAAGGCAAGGUUUAUCCUGCUGGGCCAGGCCCGGCUGCCUCUCUCAGAGGGCACUGGGGAGUUUGCCCUGGACACAGGCUAGGGGCAAAGGCUCACAUGGACAUGUCGAGUCAGCUGCCAGAUCCUGGGCUCUAGGCCUCCCCAACAUCUUCCCAAUGCACCCAGCUGACUCCUGGAGUCCAGAAAGUCCAAACUGUAGAAGGUCACCCCAAGCGCCCUGGGACUUCGCACUCUGCGCUGGCUGACAUGUGGGGCUGGAAUGGCUUCUUCCACUGGGCGUGUAUGUGGGCGUGGGAAUGGACACAUGUGCUCUGUCUCCCGGCCCAACUGUCCAGUCACAGGCGACAGCAUCUGGGUCUGUGGCAAGUUCAGAGCUCCAGACCUGCCUUCCCCACUGAUGCCCUGUGUGACCUGGACCCGGUCUCACUCCCUCCCUGAGUCCCAGUUGUUCUUCUCUUCUGUGGAAUCCUAACCCUGUGAUUCCUGAAGGGGAGGGACAGUAAAGACACAUUUCUUUCUUUUCUUUUUCUUUUUAAGAGAGAAGAUCUGGCGGCCGGGCGUGGUGGCUCAUGCCUAUAAUCCCAGCACUUGGGGAGGCUGAAGCAGGUGGGUCACCUGAGGUCAGGAGUUUGAGACCAGCCUGACCAACAUGGUGAAACUGUGUCUCUACUAAAAAUACAAAAAUCAGCCAGGUGUGGUGGCAGGCACCUGUAGUCCCAGCUACUUGAGAGAUUGAGACAGGAGAAUCACUAGAACCCGGGAGACGGAGGUUGCAGUGAGCCGAGAUCGUGCCACUGUACUCCAGCCUGGGUGACAAAGAGAGACUCUCUCAAAAGAAAAAAAAAAGGAGAAUCUGGCUAUGUUGCACAGGCUGGAGUACAGUGGCUAUUCACAGCACCAUCCCACUACUGAUCAAU